UGAAGUGCGAUAUGUAGUGUGAAUUGCAGAAUUCCGUGAAUCAUCGAAUCUUUGAACGCAUAUUGCACUCUCUGGUAUUCCGGAGAGUAUGCCUAUUUGAGGGUCAUGUGAAACAUACAUUCUAGAUUUCUUAGAACAAAAUGGGUUAUCCAGAUUUUUCAUGGUUACCUAAAAUACAAGACAUGCUCAUUUUUUUGGGUUACGUGAUACUUGUUAUUCGUGACAUUCCGAGAAAUAUGUGGCGUGUUGUAAUUUUGCAAAAACGGAUGGGAAUUCGUCUCUGCGAAAUAGAAACAAUUGAAUCUUGACCUCAAAUUAGGUAGGAGUACCCGCUGAACUUAA
rnacentral:misc_RNA from 1 species